GGACUACACGGGUAUCUAAUCCUGUUUGCUCCCCACGCUUUCGUGCCUCAGUGUCAGUAUUAGGCCAGGUAGCCGCCUUCGCCACUGGUGUUCCUUCCGAUCUCUACGCAUUUCACCGCUACACCGGAAAUUCCACUACCCUCUCCUAUACUCUAGUCUAACAGUCUCAUCUGACAUGCCCAGGUUGAGCCCAGGAAUUUCACAAAUGUCUUAUCAAACCACCUACACACCCUUUACGCCCAGUAAUUCCGAUUAACGCUCGCACCCUCCGUAUUACCGCGGCGGCUGGCAC
rnacentral:rRNA from 1 species